GAUGAACGCUGGCGGCGUGCCUAAUACAUGCAAGUCGAGCGAACAGACGAGGAGCUUGCUCCUCUGACGUUAGCGGCGGACGGGUGAGUAACACGUGGAUAACCUACCUAUAAGACUGGGAUAACUUCGGGAAACCGGAGCUAAUACCGGAUAACAUGUUGAACCGCAUGGUUCAACAGUGAAAGACGGUCUUGCUGUCACUUAUAGAUGGAUCCGCGCCGCAUUAGCUAGUUGGUAAGGUAACGGCUUACCAAGGCAACGAUGCGUAGCCGACCUGAGAGGGUGAUCGGCCACACUGGAACUGAGACACGGUCCAGACCCCUACGGGAGGCAGCAGUAGGGAAUCUUCCGCAAUGGGCGAAAGCCUGACGGAGCAACGCCGCGUGAGUGAAGAAGGUCUUCGGAUCGUAAAACUCUGUUAUUAGGGAAGAACAAAUGUGUAAGUAACUAUGCACGUCUUGACGGUACCUAAUCAGAAAGCCACGGCUAACUACGUG
rnacentral:rRNA from 1 species